rnacentral:rRNA from 1 species
AUUGAACGCUGGCGGCAUGCCUUACACAUGCAAGUCGAACGGCAGCACGGGAGCAAUCCUGGUGGCGAGUGGCGAACGGGUGAGUAAUAUAUCGGAACGUGCCCGGUCGUGGGGAUAACGUAGCGAAAGCUACGCUAAUACCGCAUACGAUCUACGGAUGAAAGCGGGGGAUCGCAAGACCUCGCGCGAUUGGAGCGGCCGAUAUCAGAUUAGGUAGUUGGUGAGGUAAAGGCUCACCAAGCCGACGAUCUGUAGCUGGUCUGAGAGGACGACCAGCCACACUGGGACUGAGACACGGCCCAGACUCCUACGGGAGGCAGCAGUGGGAAUUUUGGACAAUGGGCGCAAGCCUGAUCCAGCAAUGCCGCGUGCAGGAUGAAGGCCUU